AAGUGUGCCACGAGACCGGAGAA
rnacentral:misc_RNA from 1 species